rnacentral:rRNA from 1 species
UAAACGAUGUAUACUCGCGGUUUGCGAUAGACAGUAAGCCGCCAAGCGAAAGCAUUAAGUAUACCACCUGGGGAGUACGCCGGCAACGGUGAAACUCAAAGGAAUUGACGGGGGCCCGCACAAGCGGAGGAACAUGUGGUUUAAUUCGAUGAUACGCGAGGAACCUUACCCGGGCUUGAACUAAGAGUGACUUAUCUAGAGAUAGAUAUUUCUUCGGACACUCUUGGAGGUGCUGCAUGGCUGUCGUCAG